CUUCCGGUCGACGAGGUACAUGUACCUCGUCGACUGGAAGGAAACCCUUCCAGUCGGCGGGGUGCGACUGGAAGGGUUUCCUUCAAGUCAACAUGUACCUCGCCGGUCGACUGGAAGGGAAUCCUUCCGGUCGACGAGGUACAUGUACCUCGUCAACUGGAAG
rnacentral:miRNA from 1 species